GCCAUGAUUGCCUUCCCCUUUAUAAUUAAUAUGUCUGAACAAGGUUAAUCUCAACCUCGUCCAAACAGAGCAUGUUCAUCUCUCUCUCUCUCUUCUCUCUUUCAACAAAGAGCCCUGAGCCCUAAUCUACCAUUUUCACAGGCGGUUGACCUCCAAAGCACCCUCAAAUAUCACCCCACACCCCCCUUACACCCUAAGUCCUACUUCUAUAUCAACUUUCCCGAAAUCCCUACCAAAUACGGUCAUCUUUAGAUCUAAAGAGAGAGAAGAAAAAAAGAGUAUAUCUCAACCUUUCAAGAACGAUUAGGACUAAAACUAGUAUUGUAUAUUUAUCCUCAAGAAGGACAUGCAGAUAACACUGAUUUUGGUUCAAGAUGGAGAUUGCCGGUGGUCUAUCCCAAGCUUGGUCGUUCUAUUAGGUAUCUUUAUGUAUUUUCAUUGUUUUCACCGUUUGUUUUAUUUACCUCUUUGUCUAUUUUUGAUUCCUCUCUUUUCUUUCUAUUUUAUAUUUCAUUUUCAAACCAUUUUCUUGCUCAUAUGUUAGGAUUGGGUCAUAGUACUACCUUUGUUAUUAGGUUGUUCGUUGUCAUAGUUUGACUUUGUUUAAUUUUAGUUUCGUUGAUUUCGUAAUAGUAGGAGUUUAUAACUCCGCUAGCCUGUUUGAUUUUGUGUUUGGAUGUUUCAAAUUAGGGUUUGGAUUCCGCAGGUCAAGAGCCCAUAAAGAGUAAGGCUCAAAUCUGACUUUCCAACACACAGGUUAGGUGUAGGAUUUGGAUUGAAUUUGACCCGUAAUAUGAAGCGUAAAUAACCUAAAAAUUAAGGGUAAUUAAGGAUUUCUAAGAUAGGGAAUCUUUUGGUAACAGAAAUAGAAGCUUCAUAGAAGCUGACUGGGGGGGACUAACCUGAAUUUAGAGUCUUGACCUAAGGUUCUUGAAGCAAAAAUGAUAAUUGGGCAGGGAUUGAAAAGAAAAUUCCGAAACCUCUUUUGAUGCCCUACCUCUCCCUCUAUAAAUUCUCACUUCCAAAAAGGAUUUAGGGGAUCAGAUGUUAGAAAAUAAAAAACGGCUGAACUUAAAAAGGACAGUUCCAUUGCUUCUUUGUUUUGAAUUCAGAAGUUCUCCAUUGCUAAAGUAGUUUCUGAUUUUCUUUGAGUUGAAAAUGGAUUGAACUCGGUAAUAGAAAAUAUGGUUUAAAUUUGUUGAUGGGAUCACUGUUCUAUUGAUUUUUAUGAGGAAAGUUUAUUGUUUCAUUGGCUAAAAUAAGCUAGUGUUUGGUUUGGUCUAUUCCUCCUGGGUGUGGAUUACUGGGUUGUCUGUUGCUUACUGCUUCCUCACCUCUUUCUUCUCUUUUCAAUCUCCAGGUACAUUUCUGCAUUCAACCUCAUGUGAAGAUUGAUUUGAGGAAUAAAAUAGAAAUUCGAAAGUUCAAACAUGUUUUCAACUUUCUGUUAUGAGUUGAGCCUUAUUACUUUGUAUUUAUGGUGUUUUAUAGCUUAGCUCAUUAUUUCUUUAUAGUUAAUUUUUAAUCUGGGCCAAUAGUUUGUUGAUUCUAGCCUCUAUUUGGCCUCAUUUCUCUUAAAUUUGAGAUCUAUGUGGCUAAGUAGGUGCUCUACGUAUUUGUUUGGCUAUGAAAGUGUAGUUGGUGUGCAGUCUUCAGUUUUCUUUUUUUCUGAGUGUUCUUUUAAAACUAUAAUUGAUGUUUAGUUAUUUGUUGCUAUCAUGUAGAUCUAUUAGUAUAUUAACCUUAAGUUAUGAAUUAAAUGUCAGCAUGGAAUUUAAGGUUCAUGAGGUUUUGAGUAGUCCUUUUGUUUCCUUACUUGAGUUUGGCCCUCAUGAAGUGGGAAUGCAACUGUUUGAGUAGUCUGAUCUUUUUUUAAUUCUAUAAUACAUGGCCAAGAUGAAACAUAUUGGUAAAAUCAAGUUAAAUAAGAGCAGCAUUCUUUUCUUGAAAUUUGUUCAAGCACGCUAAUGUCGGGUUUGACUCUUGAAGAUUUGGUUUGUAAGAAUGCAUCAUCUUGAGUCAGGUGUGGAGUCUUUUAGAAAAACACAUGAAUUUGAGAGUUAAUAUGGUAAAGAUGAGUAAUGAAUAAGGUUUCUCGUAAAUACGAUUAGUUUCCGGCAUUGAUUAAUUCAGGCUCUAAAUUGUGUGUUUAUUUUGAGUUAUGAUUCACCUUGGUAUAAGAAACUAUUUUGUUGAAGGUUGUCUUUAACUCAGCAGUGGUCGUGCCUGUGUGGAUUCGAUUCGCAACCCUAGCAUAGGUUGAUUUCAUUGAGGCCUGGAUUUUCUUUAUGGGACUAGAUCUGAAGCGAUGUACAAAACAUAGAAUGUCAUAUUUUUGGGCCUGUUGAUUUUUGUUACUUAAAUUAACUUAAAAUUUUCCUAAUAAAAAAAUGGUUACGAUUUCAUUAGGCCUUAGUUAAUGGGUAAUCCCUUUUAGUUAGUUUGAGGUGAGAUAUUAAUUAAGUCACAAUUUAUGGCCCUCAUGAAUUAAUCUAGAAACUUGUUUAGAAUAAUUCGAGGUGCACCAUGCCAAAUACACAACUGACAAUUGCAUGGCCCUCGUUUGAUUAAUCUUGUUUAUCCUUAGAAAUCAAGGUGUGCCAUUUAGCGAAUUUUUAUGGCCCUCGCAAAGUUACUAAUGCGUAGUUGCUUUAGUCAUGUUAUUUAGUAAUUUACCUUCCUAAACUCGGGUGCACAUUUAUGUGACCCAAAUCCAAAUAUCAACAAUUUUAGAUGUAUACCACGAGUGCAUUUAUGUGCCGUGGUUCAAGAAAUAUUUUAAAUAACGUUGCAAUCUUUCUUAAAAUAAUUAAAAGCGGAUAUAAAGUUUAAAAUUGAAUCAUAGGAUAAAACAUGUAUUAAAAUCAUAUAAUAGGCCAAUUAUAACAGUUGAGCGACCGUACUAGAACCACGGAAUUCGGGAAUGCCUAACACCUUCUCUCGGGUUUACAAAAUUCCAUACCCGGAUUUCUGUGUUCGCAGACUAUAAUAUAGAGUCAAUCUUUUCCUCAAUUCGGCGUUUGAACCGGUGACUUGGGACACCAUAAAUUAUCCCAAGUGGUGACUCUGAAUUUUAAAUAAAAAUAAUCUUGUCUCUAUUGUUACUUAAAUGGAAAAAUUCAUGUAUAUCCUUCUGGAUGUAGGAAAAAAGAGGGGUGAGACACACGGUUUGUGCAAGUAAGGAAAGGAAAUCAGCCAAGAAAUCAAAACUACAGGCUUUGUACGAAUGAACCAAGUCAUGAAAAGUGAGGAAAAGUUUAACUUAAGGAAAAUCAGUAACAAUCAAUCAAACCCAAAAAGAAAGAUUCAGAAUCAAUAAUAAGUUGGAAAUCCUUUUAAAGAAAGGUUCAACACACAUAUAAAAGCGUAUAGAAAUGUUAAAACAAGAAAGAACUGUCAUUCCAAUUAGAAGAGUCUAGCAUAGAAGAGUUUAGAGUCAUAAACAAAGAGGUUCAAAUCAAGUUUAUAGACUCAAAAUGAGUCUGAGAGAGUCAAGGGUUCCAAAGUAGAACCCCGGUUCAAAUACAAAAUCAACCUCAUUUCCCAAAUUCUAGGAUUUCUAAGUCGAAUUAGAUACAGAGACGAGGAGCCAAGUAAUUGAAACAGGCUCAGAGAUCUCUUUCAAAGACUUAUGAGAACACAAAAAGAUACAAUAGCAAAUUCGAAGAAAAUAGAGUGAAGAAACUGAUUUGAAGCAUAGUGAGAGCAGAAGGAACACGUUUUAAGAAAAACGUGGAACUUAAACAAGUUCAGAAGAGAAAAAGAGGCAGUUUAACACUUGAUAAAACAGUAGAGGAAAUAUGUUUAAAAAGAACUUAGUAGGAAAUACAUACAGGAACACGGAGAUGUAGGAAAAGUCUAGCAAAAGAACACACAAGGAAAUAUGGCAAGAUAAACAUGUGAGAGCACGAUAUAGAAAUAUAGUAGAAGAAAGAAUGGAGCACGGUAGAAGAACAUGCAAACAUAAAAACACAGUAGAAGAUCAUGCAAGGUAGAAAAUAAAACAUAAGAAUAUAGCAUAGACAGAUACUCAUAAAGAAAAGAAGAAGUGUUAUAGAAACAUCUUGAAACUUUCGAAAACCCUAAAUCGAAGAGAAGUAAUUUUUGAAAGAAAAAUUAGGGAAAGUGUUUUAAAACUCCAGUAGAGCAAAGAUAUACAAUAGAUAUAAGAAAACAAUCAGAGAAAAUCUCGACUAGCUAGGGUUUCAUAGGAACCUUGAAUGAGAAAGUCUUGGAAAAAGGUCUGAUCUUCAGUCGGAUGAGUCAGAACCAGGCUCGAAACGCUUUGAAUACGCCGGAGUGAGGCCGUAGAGGACAUGGAACCUUGAAUCGAAGAAAAUUUGAAUGGACAACAUUGAAUUUAAACCUCAAAACUUCGAGCACCAAGCGUUUAAGGGUGGAGGGAGGUGAGUAUCGGCCAUCCAUGGCCUGAGAAGCCGUGGAUUCCGGUGAGAUGAUGGUUGAAAGUGGUAGAAGUGGAUUAGGGUUACGAAGAAUCUUCGAGAGAGUCUAAGAGAGAGAGUGUAUUCAAAGGCAGCUGAUAGAAUAAAAUGAUGGGAUUAGAGUAGGGUUGUUGAAAUAAAAAAGGUAAUAAGUGAUCAUGGUUGUUGAUCAAAAUGAUUACCGGCCUGUAUUAAAUAAAAGGAUGGGCGAAUUGGAUAAAUGGGUUAGGGGUUGGGUUGAAUAAAAAUUGGGCUGGUCUGGAGUUGGGAUUGAAAUUGGGUCAAUUAGGGGGAUCAAAUUUGGCUAAAAUUGAAAUGAAAUGGGUCAAAUAUUAAAUAGCCAGUUUUUUCCUUUUUAUUUUAUAAAAAUAGUAAAAAUGUCCUUGAAAACAAAUUAAAGGUACUGAGUCACUUAAGAAAAUAUAAAUAAUAAUUUUCAAAUAUUUGAACUGAUUUCCUAAUUAUAAAAUGUAUUUAAUUCUCAAAAUAGGCUAAAAUUACAAUUAUAUGCACUUUAGCUUUUAGAAUACCAAAUAAAUUUGUAAAAAUGUGUAAGAAUUAUAUUAGCUAUAUUUUGGCAUAAUUAUAGGAAUAAAAUAAAUUAUUCACAAAAAAUAAUAAUUUUGGGACUGAUUAUUGAUUUUUAUACUGCAAAAAUAGAUAAUAAAUUAAUCUAAAAAAUCUUUUAAAAAUUGAAAAAAACUACUAAAACACGUAGACAUACUUAUAUAUGCAUAUAUAUAGUAUUUGAAAGUAUUUUUCAUAUAAAAAAUAGACGAAAAAAAAUUGGGUAUCGAUAAUAUUUCCAUCUUUAAAACAACUGUUCGUCUUCGAAUGGACAUAGAAAAGUACCUGAGUCGGUGAAAAGAAGGGGAUAUCGGCUCUGCUUGUCGGACUCGGACUCCCAGGUAGCUACCUCAAUAGGUUGUCCUCUCCACUGAACAUGAACCGAUGGAUAGCUCUUUGAUCUGAAUUAUCAAACUUGCCGCUCUAGAAUAGCUACCAGCUCAUUCUCGUUGGUUAAAUCCCAGUCCAACUGGACAGUGCUGAAGUUUAACACCUGGGAUGGAUCGUCGUGAUACUUCCAAAAUAUGGACACAUGAAUCACUAGAUGCACAAUUGAUAAACCAUGUGGUAAUGCAAGUUUGUAAGGCACAUCUCCCACUUGAUCAAGGAAUCAAAAGGUCCGAUAAACCUAGAGCUUAACUUUCCUUUCUUUCUAAUCUCCUCACACCCUUCAUGGGAGACACCCGAAGCAAUACUUUCUCCCCGACUAUGAAUACCACAUCACAAUCCUAACGAUCGGCAUAACUCUUUCGCCUGGACUGAGGUGUACAAAGCCUAUCUUGAAUGAUCUUAACUUUAUCCAAUGCAUCUUGUACUAAAUCUGUACCCAAUAAUUGAGCCUCCCCUAGCUAAAACCACCCAAUUGAAAAUCGACACCAUCUACCAUAUAAGGACUCAUAAGGAGCCAUCCGGAUGCUCGGCUGAUAGUAGUUAUUGUAGGAAAACUCUGCCUAACGGCAAGAACUGAUACCAAGAACCUCCAAAGUCAACACAUCGAAGCAUAUCCUCCAAAAUCUGAAUAGUACGUUUGUCAAAAAUGUGAAGUAAACUGUGUACCUCGGUCAGAAAUAAUAGACACGGGCACACCAUGAAGACAAACAAUCUCCUAGAUAUAGAUCUCAACUAACCUCUCUGAAAAAUAGGAGACUGCCAAACGAAUGAAAUACGCUGAUUUAGUCAGCCUAUCAACAAUAACACAUACCGCAUCAAACUUCGUUUGAGUCUUUGGGAGUCUAAAAACGAAGUCUAUAGUGAUACGCUCCUACUUUCACUCAGGAAUCUCAAUCUUCUCAAGCGAACUACUAGGUCUGUGAUGCUCGUACAUUACCUGCUGGCAAUUCAAAAAUUUAGCUACAUAUGCAACAAUAUCCUUCUUCAUCCUCCUCCACCAAUAAUGUUGCCACAAGUCCUAAUACAUCUUAGCAGCGCUCGGAUGAAUAGAAUACCGGAAACUAUGGACCUUUUCUAGAAUCAACUCACAAAGUCCAUCCACAUUAGGCACACAAACUCAACCUUGCAUCCAUAAAACUCUAUCAUCUCCAACUAUAACCUUAUUGGCACCACCGUGCCGCAUUGUGUCCCAAAGGACAAGCAAAUGAGGAUCAUCAUACUGCUGAUCUUAUAUAUGCUCAAUAAUAAAGACCGAGCGACUGUGCAAGCUAAAACACGACUGGGCUCAUAAAUAUCCAACCUUACGAAUUGAUUGUCUAAAGCCUAACAUCCAAAGCAAUCAAUGUCUCAUCGACCAGAAUAUACACUAGACUGCCCAUGCUGGCUGACUUCCUACUCAGAGCACCGACUGCCACAUUGGCCUUCCCCAGAUGAUACAAGAUGGUGAAAUCUUAGUCUUUCAAUAGUUUUAACCACCUUCUCUGCUUCAAAUUUUUCUCCUUCUACUUGAACAAAUACUGUAGACUUUUGUGAUCCGUGAAUACCUCACAUGAAAUGCCAUAUAAAUAAUGCCUCCAAAUCUUCAGCGCAUGAACAAUGUAUACUAGCUCCAAAUCAUGAACUUGAUAAUUCUUCACGUAGAUCUUCAACUAUCGCGAAGCAUAUGCAAUAACCUUGCCGUUUUGCAUCAACGUUGCACCAAGUCCAAUACGAGAUGCGUCACAAUAUAUGGUAUAUGGCCUUAAACCUAUAGGCAAAAUAGUUUUGUGGUCAAAGCUAUCUUGAGCUUCUGAAAGCUCGACUCACACUCAUCCGACCAACUACCAUGGGCACCCUUUUGGGUCAAAUUGAUCAUCGGGGCUGCUAUAGAUGAAAACCCAUCCAUAAACCGAAGGUAAUAACCUGCGAAACCUAAGAAACUCCAGAUCUCUGUAGCGGAUGCAAGUCUAGGCUAGUCCUUGGCUGUCUCUAUCUUCUUUAGGUCCACCUGAAUACCCUCUACUGAUACAAUGUGACAUAAGAAGUCAACUGAACUCAACCAAAACUAACAUUUCAAAAACAUAGCAUAGAACUAACUAUCUCUCAGUGUCUGGAGAACGAUUCGAAAAUGCUACUCGUGCUGCUCUUGGCUGCGGGGUUAGAUUAAAAUAUCAUCAAUGAAGAUGAUCAAGAAGGAAUUCAAAUAAGGCUUGAAUAUCUGGUUCAUCAACUCCAUAAAUGUUGUUGGGGCAUUUGUCAACCCAAAUAACAUCACCAAUAACUUAUAAUGCCUGGACCGAGACUGAAAAGAUGUCUUAGGGCAUCGGACGAGCUAAUACUCAACUGAUGGUGGCCAGAUCUCAAAUCAAUCUUCGAAAACACUUUAGCACCCUGAAUGUGUUCAAACAGGGCAUUAAUCCUCGGCAAUGGAUAUUCAUUUUUGAUGGUGACCUUGUUAUACUAUUGAUAAUCUAUACACAUCCUCAUCGAUCCAUCUUUCUUCUUAAAAAACAACACCGGUGCACCCUAGGGUGGGAAAAUGGGUCUAAUAAAGCCCUUGUCGAGCAAAUCUUGCAGUUACUCCUUCAAUUCUUUCAACUCUAGUAGAUCCAUGCGAUAUGGAGGAAUAGAAAUAAGCUGAGUUCCCGGAUCCAAAUCAAUGCAAAAGUCAAUAUCCUUGUUGGGUGGCAUCCCCGGCAGAUCUACAAGGAAAACCUCUAGAAACUCCCAAACUACUGGCACAGAAUCCUAGAAGGAACCUCAGCACUAGAACUACGAACAAAUGCCAAGUGAGCCAAACACCCCUUCUCGACCAUACGCCGAGCCUUUGUAUAAGAGAUAACCCUACUGAUAAAAUGAAUAUGAGUCCCUCUCCACUCUAAGCGAGGCAUACCCGACAUGGCUAAGGUCACAGUCUUGUCAUGACAGUCCAAAAUAGCGUGAUAAGGUUACAACUAAUCCAUCUCAAAAAUAACAUCUAAAUAAACCAUAUCAAAGGGUAUAAGGUCUACACGGGUAUCAAGACCCCAAUAACCAUCACACAUGAACGAUAGACACGAUCUACCACAAUAGAAUCACCUACUAGCAUAGACACAUAUACAAGAUCACUCAAAUAAUCAUGAAGCACAACCAAACAUGAAGCAAAAGUGAGAAGACACAUAGGAGUAUGUAUACCCUGGAUCAAACAGAACUGAAGUAUCUCUACUACAAACUAAAACAGUACCGGUGACAACAGUAUCAGAGGACUCAGCCUCAAGCCUGGGUGGAAAAGAAUAACAUCAGGGCUGGGCCCCACCACCCAGAACUAUACGUCUAGGAAGGCCUCCACCUCUAACGAGCUUACCCCUACCUCUGGCUCCUUGACUCCUACCUCUGGCUGGCUAGCAGGCGAUGCCUAGAUCAUGGCACGAGAACUCUGCUGCUGCGAUUGGGCACACACUAACCUUAGACAAGCCCUCCUGAUGUGACCAUACUCACCACACUCAAAACAUCCAUCUAAAUACUGUAGUUGAAUAAAAUGAGACUAACCCUGACGAGUUGGCUGACCGUGAUGAAAACUCUAAAGAGGAUGUGCUCGGAUAGGAGCUGGCGGUACAUUAUAGGUUGGCUGCCCUGAAAGAGGUACAUAGGGAUCACGACUCCCUGAAUUUCAGUGAGGUUCCUGGAGUGUUGAAUGAAACGGCGAGGGAUGAUAGCCUCUACCAAUAAUACCUCGACCUCCAGAUUAUGUCCCAAUGAAUCCACCAAAAUGAUGUGGUCUCUUGUCAAACCCCUGACCACCACACUAAGCUAGAACAAUCUCGACUCAUCGGGCCACAAUGACCACAUCUUGGAAGGAAAUCUCGCUCCCUUUCUCCUUGGCCAUCUGCAAUCUGAUAGGAUAGGAAAGUCCCUCAAUAAACCUCUUUACCCUCUCUUUCUCUCGGUGGGGAGUAUAAGAAGAGCAUGACAGGCCAGGUCAAAAAAUUUGGUCUUAUACUGAGUGACGGUCAUGGAACCCUACUGGAGGUACUCAAACUGCCUCUGAUAGUCCUCUCUCUAAUUGACCGGGAGAAACUAUAGCUGAGAAAACUAAUCCCAAGUCAGUGCAUGCGACCCGGCUGGCCGAGCCAAACAAAAUCCGCUCCACCAUUUCUUGGAGGAACCUGAUAAGCGAAAAGCAGCAAAGUCAACCCUAUUGGUCUCCUCUCAUGACAAAUAUCCAAAUGGUCUUGGGGGUCCUCUGAAGAUGUACGACCAUAAGUAGUAGUGAAAAGCUCGGUGAACCUGUCCAACCUCCACAAGGCAUUAGAGGACAUAGCUGAUCCAUCACUGGUUUGUGCUAUAACACCCGGUGAAACUACCCACCUGGCUGAGCUGCUGGAGUCUGAAACUGGGGUGCCAUCUACUCCGGAGUGUGAGUAGCAAGAGUUUAUACUCCUCCCCCACCCGAGAGAUGACUGGUCCUACAAGAAGUAUGCCUUCCUGAGUGAUACACUCCAUAAGGCCCACUAGACGGACCGGAGGAUCCUGGAGUACCGGGGUAGCUAUGACCUUAUCGAAUCUGACCUGGUCCUGCUGGAAUGGUGUGGGCCAGAACCUCAUCAUCAAACUCAACCUGAGGCUUCGCCACUGGUGAUACUGCUCUGGGUUCUGCCCUGCCCCUGCCUCAGCCCUUAGCACGACAUCAGCCUCAUCUUCUGUCCCUCCUAGGAGCUGCCACUAAGGGCUCGGGCUACUGAUCGACUGAUGAAGCAGUACGCGUUCUCUCCACCUGCGAAAGAAUAGAUUAAAGAAUUCUAUUAGCUUUGAGAGAUUAAACCGCACGAUAAAGAUGAAUAAAAGUGAAAAUGUUCCUAACUCUGUAGCCUCUUGGGAGAUAAGCACAGACGUCUCUAUACUGAUCCUCAGACUUUACUAAGUUUGUCCGUGAAUUAUGAGACCUAAGAAACUAAGUGCUCUGGUACCAACUUGUCAUGACCCAAAUUUUCCACCGCCAGGACCGUGAUGGCACCUAAUAUUGUAAACCCUAGGCAAGCUAACGUUACCAACUAUUUCAUCCUUUUCUUUUAUCUUUUAACACUUUACACAUAGGUAAAUGAGCGGAAUAAAAUGGAAUAACAGAAUUUAAUAAGUUAUCUUAAUACAACUACGUAACUAUAAUAAAACUCCACCCAGAAUUGUUGUGACAAUUUCACGAACUGUCUACGAAUACUAUAAAUUAUAGUCUAAACAAUGAAAUACACAUCUAUCUCGGAAAAGAUAAAACAUAAAAGAAAACAGGAUUGAAGGGGACGCCAAAGCCUACGGAUGCUUGCAGGACUACUUCGAGUCUCCACUAGACUGGAGGCAGCAACCUCGAACUACGGUCAUCCACUAACUGAGUAAUCUGCACAAGAAGUGCAGAGUAUAGUAUCAGUACAAUCGAACUCAUGUAUUGGUAAGUGCCGAGCCUAAUCUCGACGAAGUAGUUACGAGGCUACAGCGGGGCAUAACAAUAUAAAUGCAUAACCUACAAUACUUUUUAAUAAGAGAACGGAGGUAUAGAAAGAAAAAUAACUUAAACUUGUAUUAAAAAAAGAUAUGACUCAGUCGUUCUACAAGUAUCAACUUAUAACCAAUCCUUAGGGAGUUUUUCAAUAUCUCAAUAAUAGACUUUCAAUAGAAAUAAAGGCCAAGAAACAUAACCGAUACAGCUUGCAUCACGAUCCCACCAUAGAAACAAUAAGUGUUAAUAAUCCAACAACAACAAUAUCAAUAUUAUACCUUAUUCCUCCUUGAGGUGCGCGACCUGAUCCCACAUCUCUUCCCUUAUUACUCCUUAACACAUAUCACCCUUAUUCCUCCUGUUAUGGUGUGCAACCCGAUCCCACCUAUCCACCUUUAUCACUCCUUGUUACGGCAUGCAACCCGAUCCCACCAGAAAAUCACUUUCUUCCCUUAUUCCUCCUCUUCUUGUAUGCAACCCGAUCCUAACAUACACACACACACACACACACACACACACACACACACACACACACACAUAUAUAUAUAUAUAUAUGUGNNNNNNNNNNNNNNNNNNNNNNNNNNNNNNNNNNNNNNNNNNNNNNNNNNNNNNNNNNNNNNNNNNNNNNNNNNNNNNNNNNNNNNNNNNNNNNNNNNNNNNNNNNNNNNNNNNNNNNNNNNNNNNNNNNNNNNNNNNNNNNNNNNNNNNNNNNNNNNNNNNNNNNNNNNNNNNNNNNNNNNNNNNNNNNNNNNNNNNNNNNNNNNNNNNNNNNNNNNNNNNNNNNNNNNNNNNNNNNNNNNNNNNNNNNNNNNNNNNNNNNNNNNNNNNNNNNNNNNNNNNNNNNNNNNNNNNNNNNNNNNNNNNNNNNNNNNNNNNNNNNNNNNNNNNNNNNNNNNNNNNNNNNNNNNNNNNNNNNNNNNNNNNNNNNNNNNNNNNNNNNNNNNNNNNNNNNNNNNNNNNNNNNNNNNNNNNNNNNNNNNNNNNNNNNNNNNNNNNNNNNNNNNNNNNNNNNNNNNNNNNNNNNNNNNNNNNNNNNNNNNNNNNNNNNNNNNNNNNNNNNNNNNNNNNNNNNNNNNNNNNNNNNNNNNNNNNNNNNNNNNNNNNNNNNNNNNNNNNNNNNNNNNNNNNNNNNNNNNNNNNNNNNNNNNNNNNNNNNNNNNNNNNNNNNNNNNNNNNNNNUAUAUAUAUAUAUUAUAUCAACACCAAUUACCAAGAGUAAAUACAAAGUAUUUCACAAGUUAACUUAAUUUUCACAUUUUCUAUACUUCAACCCACAUAAUGGGAUCUCACUACGAUUAUGAAACUUCACCCAUCAAAGCUAGUCAGCAAGACCAACCAAGGUGCACCAUAAGGCACCAAUAACUCAAUAUAAGCCAACAGUGUAAUUAAGUGAAACCAUGAAACAAUUAGAUACUUCAAAUAAGAGGGCAAUAGUUAAUAUGAAGUAAUUAGGCAUAAAGACAUUUAUGGGAAAAUAGAAAUUAAGGCAUGGGAACAGUUUAUGUAGGUAGCAAUUAAGACAAGAAAUGGUUUAAUUGGAAGCGAGUGAGAUAACGAACUAAAAAUGGAAAUUUCCUGGCGCAUAGGUACUCGUCACUACACCUAUACACAACGCACAUGAGAAUUCACAUAGCACAUAAGCCGGGGAUUCCUAUUCCCUCAAGUUAAGGUUAAACAAAACACAUACCUCAAGUCAAGGCAUAAUUCAACACUCAACCACCGCUUUACCACUCGAUUCCACCACCAAUUCACUUGUAUCUAACCAUAAUUAAUUCAAUAACAUCAAUAAAUGCUAAAUAACCCAAUUCUAAUGCAUGACUAUGAAUUUUCCAAUGUUUUCCCAUAAAGUCAAAAACCGACCCUAGGCCCGCUUGGUCAAAACUCGAAGUUCAAACCCAAACCCGAUUACCCAUUCACCGAUAAACGCAAUUAUGCAAGUGGUUUUGAAAUUCGACCUCAAUUUGAGGUCCAAAUCUUCAAAAUUUGAGAACCUAAUUUCUACCUAAGAACACCAAAUUUCCCUUGAAAAAUCCUAAAUUUUGUAUUGAAAUCAUGUAAAAAGAUGAAUUAGAUUGAAGAAGUUGAGUUAGAAAUCCGUUACCAAUUAUUUGAAGAAGUUUCAGCCUUUGAAAAAUCGCCUAAGGAUGUUUAGGGUAUGAGAGAAGUGAAAAUUGAUGAAAAAAUCCCAUCAAAAAUCUCACUUAAUAGGUAAUUUUCAUAAUUCUGAUCAAGUGUUCGCAAUUGCGAACCCUUGAAAUUUCUGCUACUUUCACAUUUGCGACGAAUAUGUCGCAUUUGCCACAACUCUGACCUUUGAAUUUCCGGUCAGAUUGUCGCAUUUUUUAGGAUGGCAUGCCUGGAUUGGUUCACAUUUGCGACAUUACUGUCGUAUUUACAGGCUAGCUCACUUUUCCAUUACGAAGCCUAAUCUCGCAAUUGGGAGAUCAGAGGCCUGUCAAAAAUACAAGAUGUAUCAGCUGAGUUUUCCUAAGUCCUAAUCACUUUGUGGCCUAUCCAAAACUCACCUGAAGCCUCGGGGUUCCAAACAACACAUGCACGCAACUCUAAUAAUAUCAUACGGACUUGCUCGUAUAACUAAAGCAUCAAAAUAAUAUCAACAACUACGAAUUUAGCAUCAAAAUUCAUGAAAUUCUUAAGAACAUUAAAAUUUCCAUUUUCUUUAUUAAGGGUCCGAUUUGUACAAAAUCAAAUCCGAUUCUUUCCAAAUUUUAUAAAUUUAACUUAAUUAUUAUUUUAAAUCUGUACUGGGCUCCAGAACAAAAUUGCGUGCCUGAUACCAUCAAUAUUGACACUAUUUCAUUUCUAAAAAUGCUUAUAUUUACACCAAAUAACUCUUUUUAAAAUUCAUUACUCGGGCUAGUGACCUCAGAAUUCGAUUGCGAGCAUAUGCCCACGUCCUGUAUUUUACUACGGGCCCUACGAGACCACUGGAAUACGGGUCAGGGUUUGUUUUUCCAAAAUGUUGGCUAACGUCAACUAAAUUCAUAAUUUUAAGCAAAAAUCAUUAUUUCUUAAAAAAAUUCACACAAAAUCUUUCUGGUAUCACGCACGGACUACCCAUGCAAAUUGAGGAGAGAUACGAGUAGGUUUUCAAGACCUUACGACACAAAAAUGGGCUCUAAAAUAAAAGAUGACAUUUUGGGUCAUCACAAUAGCUCAACCCAUCCAAAGUAAUUAUCAAAUUAUACUUUUUUUAUGGUCAUAUAUAACAUAUCAAUCAAUUUUUAAAAAAAAUAAUUUAUCAAAGUUUACUCAUAAAUCAAUAUGCGCUAAAAUUCACUAAACAUUAGAUAGGUUGAGUUGCGCUGAGUCAAAAGGAAAUGAUUUCAACGAAUGGGCGGGUCAAUGAACCAAUCCAACCACAGAGAGUUGGGCGGGUCAAAUGAGUUUAGAUUCAUACUGCCACCCCUAUUUGUAAAUUUCCUCUUACUCUAAUCAAGGAACCACAUGGUAUUAGUAGUGUUUUUAUGGGUCAGAAUCAGAUUUGUAAAAAGAAGUAAAUUUUUCUUUGCAGUGGCAUUUUUUUGCACCCCCUGAGAGAAGAGAAUAGCUCUCAAUCUAUUUAUCAUUUUUGAUACAAAUGUAUCUCUCAAUCUAUUUGCAUUUUUACUGCAACUUUGUUUAGGUAAAUUCCAAUUUGUGCAAACUGGAAUUGGUCUAAUUUGUGAUCGACUAUUCACUACACUGUCCGUAUUAUGUUUUCCAAAUUUGUUGUCACAGUAAAUGGCAAACCAAUGGACAGUGAACGAAUUGUAUAAUUAACUAGAGUGCCAUGUUAAAGAGGAUAUAUAGUCAGUAGAGUGCAAACAUAUCACACAAUAAUAGGGCAUUUACCAUUUUUUAAGCAAAUUUUUGUGUUAUCAUACCAACAAUUGAAACGUUGAUCUAUGAAAAUCUGAAAUGAAAUAAUCUGUAAGAGGUUAAGCUUCAGGUUGUCGUCCCGCUCUAAUACUAUGUGAAAUUUUAAGGAUAAUCAGAGAGAAAGGGGUGAGCUCAAUGUGAGCUCUAAUGGCGGAUUGGAUCGCACGAGAGAGAGAGAGAGAGAGAGAGAAAUGACGCUACUAGAAAUAAAGGAGCCCAUUUCAUUAUUACAACUUAGUAAAGAAAAUACAAAAUUAAUGUCCUAUUUAUAGGAGCUAACUAACUAUCUAAUAACCAGUACAAGUAUGAAAGAAUGAAAGAAUAAAUACAGUGCAUUACAGAUCAAUCAAUAAUCUCAACACCCUCCCCCUCCUCCUCCCUCCCUCAAGUUGGAGGGGAGGACCUCACAUCCAACUUGCUGAGAAGUGCAAUAUGCUUGAACCCUGUUAAAGACUUGGUCAAUAUGUCAGCUAACUGGUUACUAGUAGAAACAAGAUGAAGAGUAAUCAGCCCUUCCUGUAGUUGAUCUCUCACAAAAUGACAAUCCACUUUGAUAUGUUUCAUUCAUUCAUGGAACAUAGAGUUUCUUGCUAUGUGUAAAGCAGCUUGGCUAUCACAGAAUAUGGGGAUAGGCAAGGCCAAUGGAAAAAUAAGUUUAUUGAGAAUCUUGCCAACCAUACAAGUUCACCAACCACCAUUCUAACUGAUCUAUAUUCAGCUUCUGCAAAGGAUAGUGAAAUAGUAGAAUGCUUCUAAGAUUUCCAACUAAUAGGAUAGGUACCAAGCAGCACAAACUACCCACUAACUGAUUUUUUGGAUUGAGAGCAAGUAGCCCAGUCUGAAGCAUAUAAUGCAUUUAUUCCAUAGUCUGCAUUGUUGUUGAGCAAGAUGCCAAAGGAUUGAUCACCUUUUAAGUAUCUUAGGACAUGGUAUGCUGCCUCCAAAUGGGGCUACCUGAGACUUUGCAUGAAUUUACUGAUAUGUUGUAUGCUAUAGGCAAUGUCCAAAUUAGUGUUUAUGAGAAAAUAGUGUUUGCCAAUCAACUUCCUAUAAUAAGAAGGGGUCAACCAGUGGAUCUCCCUCAUCAACUUUUCAUUUGAUAGAGGGGUCCAUAGGAGAAGUCAUAGAAGGACAAUCUGUAUAUCCAAACUCUCAUAAAAGAUCAAUAGUGAAUUUACUUUGUGACAUUAAAACCCCUUACUCUGUGUAUUGAACUUCCGGUCCUAGGAAGUAGUGAUGUCUCCCUAGGUCUUUUAUCUUAAAAGUACUGUGUAGAAACGUUUUCAGAGACUCAAUCUCUUGUAGAUAGGUGCCAGUAACAAGAACAUCAUCUACAUACACAACUACAGACACUACUGAGCCUUCACUCUUCUUAUAGAACAAAGAAUAAUCAAGCAUUGAAUGAGUGUACGCCUAGAACAAAAAGCUUCAGCUAAUUUCUCAUAAAAUUGUUUACUUUCUUGUUUGAGUCCAUAUAGGGAUUUGUUCAAGUUGCACACUAAACCUGGUGAGUCCACAACAAGGCCUGGUGGUAUCUCCAUAUAUACCUCUUCAUGGAGAUCCCCAUGAAGAAAUGCAUCAUUUGCAUCUAGAUGUAAGACAUGCCAUCCCUUUUUGACUUCUAUUGCUAUUAGAGCCCUAACAUUUAUCAUUUUCACUACAGGUGAGAAUGUUUUUGUGUAAUCUAUCACAACUUGUUGUGUAUACCCCUUAACUAUUAAUCUAGCUUUAAAUCUCUCAAUACUACCAUAUGCCUUAUGUUUGGUCUUAUAUACCCAUUUACACCCUAUUGCUUUCUUUCAAAUUGGAACAGGAACUAGGUCCCAAGUCUUAUUUGCAUACAAUGCUUGGAACUCUGAUUCAUUGCUGCUUGCGAGGUAGGCUGUACAAUAGCUUCCUAAUAUGAGUUAGGUUCACAUUCAUGUGGACCAGUUCCUAUCAAAUGCUGACAGGUGGAAUGUGUUUCACUAGGUGAGCUAUCAAGAGGUUUAGGGGAAUAUGUAUUGAAAGAAAAAGACUGUGUACUCUGGCUAUCAUUUGGAGAGGUUUGUUGGUUUUGAUGAGUUUUCUAAUUUCUAGAAGUGUACACUCAUAAUCUUUAAGAUAGGUAGGAAUUUUCAAAGUUCUAGAGGGUAUGUUCUGAUUUGAGUUUAUAGUUCCUUGAUCCUGGGUUAUAGUAAUUGGACUGUGAAGUGCAUCAUGAUGGACUCCUCCUGGACUGUUAGCAACAGGAAAGCUUCCUGACGUCUGGCUUCUUAAGGUAAUUGAGAAGGUCUAGAGUCAUCAUUAUGAGGAUUAGACGGGGGUGAGCAGGGCUCGGGCCUGGAUAGGUUCCCAGGUGACACUUCAUCGUGACUAUUAUCACUUACUAAAUAUGGAACACUACCUAUGACUGGAAGGAAACAAGUCAUCUGACAAGUAUGAUUUGAUUUGAGGAAAUGAGGAAAAAUCUUUACUUGACUUAGUGAACAUGGAAAAUAGAAAUACAUUCUCAUGGAAUACUACAUCCCUGAAAUACUUAUCUUCUUAGUGGCCAGAUUUAGUUCCUUAUAGACUUUUGUCCCAAAGGUAUAUCCCACAAAAACACGGGGAGUAGUUCUUAGCUCAAACUUAACUUUGUGUGUUUUGAGAGUGAUAGCAAAGCAUAAACAACCAACACUUAUGAGGUGAGAGUAGCUUGGUUUUUUCUGCUACAAGAGUUCAAAGGGACAUUUGAUUUUUGAGUGAUGAAGAGGGCAGUUUGUGUAUUAGAUAGGUAGAGGUCAUAAUGCACUCUUCCCAAACUGCACGGUUAAUCUUGAUUUAUAUAGUAGAGCCAUGGAUGUUUCUAACAAAUAUUUGUGUUUUCUUUCCACCACACCAUUUUGUUGUGGUGUAUAUGGGCAUGUUCUUUGAUGAAUAAUGCUCUUUGAUUGAAAGAAUGAAGUGGCCUCAAGACUGGUGAACUCAAGGCCAUUGUUAUUUCUUAUAGUUAUGAUGUUGGUAUUGAAUUGUUGCUCUACCAUACCAAAGAAAGCCUUAAUGGUGUGUAGAGCAUUGCUUUUACUGCUUAAUAAAUGGUUCUAUGUGGACCUGUUGUAAUCAUCUACAAGGGUAAUAAAGUAUUUAUAGUUUUUGUGUGUUGCAACAUGGUAUGGGCCCCACAAGUCAAAGUACAAAGGAUUUGGUAGUUUUUGUUCUUUAUAGGAAAGACGGAUUGAUUUGUCUUGCUAUUUGACAGAUAGGGCAAAGAAAAGUUUGUUUGGGUACAAAGGCAACAAGUAUAGAGGAAAUCCCUUUUAUUUUGACAAAAGGUACAUGUCCUAAUCUGUUAUGCCAUAAACGAUCAAGUUAAAGUUCCGUAGUAUAGGAACUACUAGAUAAAGAAAACUCACUUUUAUUGCUUGAACUAUUUACAUAGUGAUCUGAAUGUGGAAGUGAGCUACUUCUAUUACUACUAUAAGACGGGGUAACCAUGGUGGAAGCGACAGGAACACUAGAAACCAGUUUACUCCUGUUAACUAGUUGAGAAGAAGAAGGUGAGCUAGAUGUUCUAACUAUUGAAUGUAUCUAGUCCUCAUUAUUAGUAAAACAUGGAAUGGAUGCACUUAAAGAAUUAGAGAGGGUUGAACCAUUGUUACAGUUGCUUGAACAGUUAGGUACAGACUAGUCGUGGCUUUACCAAUCUCCAGUGUCCUCUUCAAUCAAAAUGAGUAGAGCAUGCUGAAAUACCUGCAAAGUUUACAGCUCCUCCAUUGAUGGCAUUGCUUGUGGAUUUAUCUGCUCCUCCCUGAAAGCUUUCCAGGAUGGUGAGCAGUUGACCAUAUUGCUGUUUAUUCAUACUGUGCAUGUGUCAACUUUGUUCCUGCUCCUAAUGACCAUUACCAUCAUCCUUUACUGCAGCAACUUCAUUUGAUGGUCUAAACACAUUUCGAGCAAUUCUUCUUCGUUUAUUGAACCUCGAACUCUAUGGGAAUCCAUGAAGUUUGUAGCAUUUCUCCUUAGUGUGCCCUAGCCUCUUGUAGUAGUCACAGAAUGGACUAGGUGUGUUGUUAAGCUGGUUUCCCUUAUAUCACCUGUAGGUGUUGUUGUUUCCCUGUUGAUUGUAGUUAGUUCUGAAAUUGAUAUUUCCUGAUCCACUCACAUUCAAUGCAGCAGAGUCCAUGGAAAAACUGCUACUCUGCUUAACUUCCCUUUUGUUUCUCCUCUUAAAAAAGAAUAGAGAAGUCUUUAGCUAUUGUUGGAAGAGGGUUCAUCAUCAAUAUACUCCCUCUCACGACAAUAUACACAUCAUUGAGCACCAUCAGGAACUGAAUUAAUCUUUUAUUUUGUUAAGCUUUAUGUAUAUUUUCUCUUGCUCGACAGGUGCAUUUGCGAGCACAUUUGGCAUUAAUAUGAAGGGUGUUAAGUUCUUCCCAAAGUUUCUUCAUUUUUGUAUAAUAUCUAGUGAUGUUCAGGCUUUCUUGGCUCAUAACAUUUAUCUUUUCUUGUAGUUGAUACAACUUGGCGCCAUUAGUUUGAUCAUAUCUAUCUUCUAGUUCCUGCCAAAACUCAUUAGCAUCAUUGACAUAAUGCAAGCUGUAUGCUAGGUCCUUAGACAGAGAGUUUAAGAUCCAUGAAGUUCCAUAUCGUCGCAUCGCUCCCGUUGAUCAAGGUAAGCAGAAUCACAGUCUGACUUCUUACAUUUUCUAGUGAUGAACCCUAAUUUGUUUUUCAUGAAGAGUGCUUUGAGGAUUCCUCUUCUCCAUGAUCUAUAACCGGUUUUGUCCAAAGCUAUCGAAACUAGCAUAGAUCCAGCACUUUCCGAUGGAUGCAUGUAUAGUGGGCUUGUUGAAUCUAGGGUUUUUUCGCCACCGGGACUUCAUCUUUCCCGACCAUGAUUCAAAUUGACUAGGAUGAAAUAGUCAUCGGUGAAGAUGAAUUGCUAGAAACAUUCGGUAAUUGAUCGAUUUCCACACAGGAACCCUAAUUCUCAAAAGAAGCGUAACGAUGAUCAAUUUUUGAUUUUUUGAGUAGAACAACGAAAAAUUGAAAGGAGAUGAAGCUUCAGGUCGUUGUCCCGAUCUGAUACCAUGUGAAAUUUAAGGAUAAUCAGAGAGAAAGAGAUGAGCUCAGUGUGAGCUCUAAUGGCGGAUUGGAUCGCACAAGAGAGAGAGAGCAGAUAGAGAAAUGAAGCUUCCAGAAAGAAAGGAGAUGAUUUCAUUAUUACAACUUAGUAAAGAAAAUACAAAAUUAAUGUCCUAUUUAUUGGAACUAACUAACUACCUAAUAACCAAUACAAGCAUGAAUUCAAGUAUGAAAGAAUGAAAGAGUAAAUGCAGUGCGUUACAGAUCAAUUAAUAAUCUCAACAGUAGAAGGGUAAAAUCGGGGUAAUAAACACUCGAUUUCUCGCUGUGGAGAACGAGGCAAAGGUAUAACUAAAAGGAAUCGAAGUCGAAGAAGGGAGCCUUCACUAUCAAUGUUAGAACUCGGAGUCAUCGAGACCAUGCCCCUGGACCCGGUCCAAAAUUCAAGACCUCGGGAAACAUUGCCAAACGACCAUACAUGAUUAACAAAGGACUGUGAUGUCCCCUCCCAACCGGAUAUCACGACGUAAAUCUUGCCUCGUAUCGGCGGUAGAUCAUUUAUUAGCGAAAUAAAAGAUUUUACCUUUUUUAGAAUUGUACUUAGGUCAACGCUAAAAAGGUAGAGGAGGUGGAAGGGGCGAUACGUAAGAUGUGCUGGGGCAGAGCGACGGGGCCAGACGAAAUCCCGGUGGAAUUUUAAAACUGUGUGGGGCGGGCAGGUUUGGAGGGGCUCACUAGGCUAUUUAAUGUUAUUUUUAAGACAAAGAAGAUGCCCAAAGAAUGGAGGUGGAGUAUGAUGGUUCCGCUUUACAAGAACAAGGGUGAUAUCUAAAAUUGAAACAAUUAUAGUGUUAUCAAGUUGUUGAGUCACACUAUGAAGGUUUGGGAGAGGGUGGUACAGGCUAGGGUGAGGAGGUGCAUGUCUAUUUCCGAGAAUCAAUUUGGAUUCAUGACGGGGCGUUCGACUACGGACGCGAUUCAUCUGGUAAGGAGAUUAGAAGAGCAAUAUAGGGAGAGGAAGAAGGAUUUGCAUGGGGUGUUUAUUGACCUUGAGAAAGCAUAAGAUAAAGUACCGAGGGAGAUCAUAUGGAGGUAUUUGGAGGUUAGUAGCGUUCCGGUAGCGUAUAUUAGGGCGAUUAAGGAUAUGUAUGAUGAUUCUAAGACUCGGGUAAGGACUGUGGGGGGUGACUCGCAGCAUUUCCCUAUGGUGAUGGGGUUGCACCAGGGAUCAGCUCUUAGCCCAUUUUUAUUUUCCUUGGAGAUGGAUGUACUGUGGUGUCACAUCCAAGGGGAGGUGCCUUGGUACAUGUUGUUUGCCGAUGAUAUAGUGUUGAUUGAUGAGACGUGUAGUGGAGUUAACGCGAUGUUGGAGUUAUGGAGACAGACCUUGGAGUCUAAAGGUUUUAAACUGAAUAGAACCAAGACAGAGUACUUGGAGUGCAAAUUCAGUGAUGGAACCCAUGUUGUAGAUGUAGAGGUUAAGCUUGAUGCUCAAGUUAUCCCCAAGAAAGCGAGUUUAAGUAUAUCGGGUCUAUUAUCCAGGGUAAUGGGGAGAUUGACGAUGAUGUCUCACAUCGUAUCAGAGCGGGAUAGAUGAAAUGGAGGCUCGCUUCCGGUGUGUUGUGUGAUAAGAAUGUGCCCCUAAGACUUAAGGGUAAGUUUUAUCGAGCGGUGGUUUGACCGGCUAUGCUGUAUGGGGCUGAGUGUUGGCUAGUCAAGAACUCCCACCUGCAGAAGAUGAGAGUAGCAGAGAUGAGGAUGUUCAGAUGGAUGUGUGGGUGUACAAGGAGAGAUAGGAUUAAGAAUGAAGCUAUCCGGGACAGAGUGGGCGUAGCCUCAGUGAAGGACAAGAUGCGGGAGUCGAGGAUGAUAUGGUUCGGACAUACUACAAGAAGAAGCAUUGAUACUCCUGUCAGAAUGUGUGAGAGAUUGGCUAUGGAGAGCUUCAGAAGAGGUCGAAAUAGGCCUAUGAAGUACUGGGGAGAGGUGAUUAGACACGACAUGGCGCUGCUUCAGCUCACUGAGGACAUGGCCCAUGAUAGGAGGGUGUGGAGGUCGAGGAUUAAGGUAUAUGGCUAGUAGUAGUUUAUAAAUCUUCACCGAUAGUCUUAGUAGCAUGUGUAUCCCUUAGUAUUCUUAUAUUUCUAUUACAUUAUGUGGUUGUAUUUGCCUUAGGUAUUGUAUUCCAUGCUGCUGUUAUUUGGUACCACUUAUCCUUUAUCCCCCCCCCCCACCCUUUUCUCUUCCUUCCUUACUUUUUACUUUUUCUUCUUGUCCUUCCUGAGCUGAGGGUCUAUUGGAAAUAGCCUCUCUACCUACAUUAGGUAGGGGUAAGGUCUGCGUAUAGACUACCCUCUCCUGACCCCACCUGUUGGGAUCAAACUUGUUUUGUUGUUGUUGUUGUUGUUGCAAAUUCCCGUAAUAUAUAUAUAUAUAUAUAUAUAUAUAUAUAUAUAUAUAUUUUUUCCCAAAAGUGNNNNNNNNNNNNNNNNNNNNNNNNNNNNNNNNNNNNNNNNNNNNNNNNNNNNNNNNNNNNNNNNNNNNNNNNNNNNNNNNNNNNNNNNNNNNNNNNNNNNNNNNNNNNNNNNNNNNNNNNNNNNNNNNNNNNNNNNNNNNNNNNNNNNNNNNNNNNNNNNNNNNNNNNNNNNNNNNNNNNNNNNNNNNNNNNNNNNNNNNNNNNNNNNNNNNNNNNNNNNNNNNNNNNNNNNNNNNNNNNNNNNNNNNNNNNNNNNNNNNNNNNNNNNNNNNNNNNNNNNNNNNNNNNNNNNNNNNNNNNNNNNNNNNNNNNNNNNNNNNNNNNNNNNNNNNNNNNNNNNNNNNNNNNNNNNNNNNNNNNNNNNNNNNNNNNNNNNNNNNNNNNNNNNNNNNNNNNNNNNNNNNNNNNNNNNNNNNNNNNNNNNNNNNNNNNNNNNNNNNNNNNNNNNNNNNNNNNNNNNNNNNNNNNNNNNNNNNNNNNNNNNNNNNNNUAUAUAUAUAUAUAUAUAUGUAACACGCAUCCUAAGGCAAUAUACAUUUGUUUUCUCUGUUUUUACAAGAUAUUCAAAGUUGUUGAUUCUGUUGAUAAGUUCUCACAAGUGUUGGCUCGAAACCGAAAGUAGGCUUCUAACUAAUCUUUCAACUGAGCCCGGACUCACUAUCCUCACUAAUUUGAUAAUUUGUUAUGUUUUUUAUUUGCUUAUCUAACGUUAUUAAUUACUUAUAUCGAAUUCACACAUCUUUAAAAUCACGUAUAAAUUCAAUUGUUAUCUAUUUUUACAGGUAAACAAUCGUAUUUUUUUUAAAAGCUGGAGCAAUACAGUUGAUACUAGUACUAUCCAUUUAUGGUACAGGGUACAAUCCUAAUUAAAUUUUGUUCUCCAUGUGAAGUUUGUUACAUAAUUUGACAUUUUAUCAAAGCAAACAAAGGCUCUUGUUUAAGCUUCUGAAGAGGUUUUAUUAAAUCAAGGCUGCGAGCGACCAAACAAUUUAACAUUAAUUUUAUAUUUGUUCUAAGCUCCAAUUGAUUAUCCCAAAAGAAAAAAAAAA
rnacentral:lncRNA from 1 species